rnacentral:rRNA from 1 species
GACGAACGCUGGCGGCGUGCUUAACACAUGCAAGUCGAACGGAAAGGCCCUGCUUGCAGGGUACUCGAGUGGCGAACGGGUGAGUAACACGGGGGUGAUCUGCCCUGCACUUCGUGAUAAGCCUGGGAAACUGGGUCUAAUACCGGAUAGGAGCCAUUUUUAGUGGGAGGGUGGGAAAGUUUUUUCGGUGUAGGAUGAGCUCGCGGCCUAUCAGCUUGUUGGUUGGGUAAUGGCCUACCAAGGCGGCGACGGGUAGCCGGCCUGAGAGGGUGGACGGCCACAUUGGGACUGAGAUACGGCCCAGACUCCUACGGGAGGCAGAAGUGGGGAAUCUUGCACAAUGGGCGCCAGCCUGAUGCAGCGACGCCGCGUGGGGGAUGACGGCCUUCGGGUUGUAAACUCCUUUCGCUAGGGACGAAGCUUUUUGUGACGGUACCUAGAUAAGAAGCACCGGCUAACUACGUG